GUAGAUGACGUCAGACGAUUCCUUGGAAAGUAAAUGCUAUUGUCAAGAUAUCAUUAUUGUGUUACAUAUCGGUGAUGUAAAGUUAUACAGCUUGCAAUGUUAUCUGUACCACUUAUAGAACAUACAAUUGAUUGAAUAAAUUAUGAUAUGCAUUUUAUGGGGAUGAAUCGAACAAGUCCCAAAUCGCAUUUUAAGUUUAUUGUUGUCCUUUAUCUUGUCCACUUUCAUUCGCCGUAGAUGCAUAUUCGACCUUUGCACUCAAACCAAACGUCGCUUUCUAGCCAGCGUUAGUUGUUUAAUUGUUAGAAUUGAAGACGGUUUGGUCUACACACACUUCAUAAAAGAUCGGGGAUCAUCGAUGCAAGUGUAGGUGGGACUCCUGAUCCAGAGAACAUGUUUCGACGAAGGAUACCCUUUGCACAGAUAGCCUUUGCCACUGUGCUAGGAGUUGCUGGGGGAGUUUAUAUAUAUAGACCCAUGUUUGAGCCCCAGCACAAGAACUCUGUUCCAGAGACUUUGAGUCAAACUGAGGACAAUUGGAUGCCUGAGAGCCAAGGACAGUCUAGAGAUGGCAACAAUGUGCCUGAGAGUCCUGGACAGUAUGAAAUCAAUAGAACUGUGUAGGAGAGUGGGGGACAGUCAGCGGCCUACGCAGAAGUGGCUGUCAAGGAAUGAUUUCAUUUAAUUUGUGGUUUGGUGUGUAAAUUAGACAUGUGAAUUUAAUGUUAAAUAAAAUCCUUUCUGCUACUGAAA